CUUCUGUUUGGCUAUCUUUCAGAUGCUUGCCCUGGAAACCAACCAUGAUGCUGUGAUGAAAUCCAGGCAACUGAGUUGUGUUUCAGCCCAAAGCAGCAAAUGGAAUCCAGCUUCAGGACCAUCAUCUGACAUAGGGGAAGAAGACUUACAUAGAAGGCCUAACCAGCACCCAAGAUCAUGGUGGUCAUGAAAGAUUUCAACAAUAAAGAUGUAUUUGAGCAGAGACUUAACAGGAGGGAGGAAACAAGCCAUGCAGCUAUUUCACUGAAGAGUAUUUCAGAUGUCUUUAGACACUAGCUGUUCUUCCACUUCAAGAAAUCACAGUGGACACUGUUCCUAUGGUUACCAGGAAGGAUGCAUUUAUGGAGAUAGCUCAAGACCAUAAAAGGAAUUUGAAAUAAAACCUACUUAUUUUCACAAAACAUCUGCUGAAAGAGAGAGACAGAUAGAGAAAGAGAUGGAAAUUAUAAUAUCUCAUGCUCUAAUGAAGUAGUAAUCAGAGAGGGGGAAGCAUAAUACUUCAUUACCAUGUCUGUAGAGGAAUGGAAGAGCAUAUUAUGCAAAUAAGAAAUACAAGGCAUUCCUUGAACCAUAGUCAUCCUUGAGAGAAGUGGAAUGUGUCUCAAGUUCUGUUUUAUGAAGAUAUCAACAUUUUUGAAAAAUAUGGAGACGAAAAAUAGCAACAUAAAAAUAAAUCUCAGACCUUGACUACUGAUUGAAUUUUUUCACCUGCUAUCCAUUACUAUUUAAUCUGUACAUAGAGAAAAAAAUCAGCUGAGCUGUCCAGAAACAU